rnacentral:lncRNA from 1 species
UUUCAGGCCAAACGAGCUUACAUUGAUUGUGGAGCCAUAAGAGGAGAUACCAGAGCUUCAUCCAUUGUGGAUGUUUAUCCAGAGAACUGCAUCAUGUGCCUAGAGAAAUGCAUAGAGUCCUUGCUCCCCACUAUGAAUUCAUUGAGGAAGUCAGAAUGUGAUGGGAGGAUUGCUGCGCCAGGGUCAUUUUACAGAGUAUGAAAGAAGGCAAUAAAGCCCCCAAUCAACAGGGAUAAAAUGGAAGCCAACUUUGCUCUGGUGAAGGCCCUUCCCAUUCUCUUUCCCCCAGUGGCACCUCCAUCAAAGAAACUGGGGUGUGCUAGUGAAGCUUUACUGCAUGUUCAGGAGUCAACAGAAGAUCCAAACGUCUUCAUCCAGAAGAGAGGCCUGUCAAGUCCAGUCUUGGUGUUCGAUGGCAGCAGAUGAAUCGUUGCUAUUGGUUUGAUGCCAGUGACGUUUGAAAAAGAAAAGCUUCACGAGGGUCUGAUUUUCUAAAUGGCAUAUUAUUACACACUACAUCUGACCUACACAAAAUGCGUGGCCACCCUUCUGUCAUUCAGACAGAUCCUUCAGGAUACGAUUCACAAGCGGGACAGCACCACCAUGAAAGAGCAUUAAAGUAAAGAAUUUGUUGGAAGAUGAACUGCUUUUGCAGUUCAAUGUUUAUGUCUGUUCUUUAGAUGAGUAUUCUAAUUGUGUUGUUAAAGAAACUGUUGUAUUCCUAGAAAAUUUGGGUACAUUUGUAACACAAAUCUCAGUU